rnacentral:RNase_P_RNA from 1 species
GGGCAGGCAGAAGGUGGUUGCCCCCGCCGCUUCGCUUUGCGAAACAAAACGGCGGGGGAGGAAAGUCCGAGCUCCAGAGGGCAACGCGCUCUGUAAUACAGAGUCCGCCAUACUACACGGCGGAAGGAAAGUGCCACAGAAAAAAGACCGCCUAGGGUUGCCUUCGGCUGCCUUAGGCAAGGGUGAAAAGGUAGUGUAAGAGACUACCGCAACUAUAGCGAUAUGGUUGGCAUGGAAAACCCCGCGCGGAGUAAGGUAGACUAGGAGACCAGCGCUGGCCCGGCGCGUUAUGAGUCUUGGGUAUACCGCUUGAGCUGAUAAGGCAACUUUUCAGUCGAGAGAAAUAAUCACCCAGAUGCGGUUAAUCGUAUCGGCACAAAACUCGGCUUAUUCUGCCUGUCCCACU